GAUUCUGGCUCAGAUUGAACGCUGGCGGCGUGCUUAACACAUGCAAGUCGCGCGUGAAAGGACUUCGGUCCGAGUAAAGCGGCGCACGGGUGAGUAACGCGUGGAUGAUCUACCCAUGAGUUAGGAAUAACGGCUGGAAACGGUCGCUAAUACCAAAUACGCUCCGAUUUCAACUUCGGGGGAAAGGUGGCCUCUGCUUGCAAGCUACUGCUCAUGGAUGAGUCCGCGUCCCAUUAGCUAGUUGGUGGGGUAACGGCCCACCAAGGCGACGAUGGGUAGCCGGUCUGAGAGGAUGACCGGCCACACUGGGACUGGAACACGGCCCAGACUCCUACGGGAGGCAGCAGUGGGGAAUAUUGCGCAAUGGGCGAAAGCCUGACGCAGCGACGCCGCGUGAGGGAUGAAGGUCCUCGGAUCGUAAACCUCUGUCAGGAGGGAAGAACCGCCACGGUGCUAAUCAGCCGUGGUCUGACGGUACCUCCAAAGGAAGCACCGGCUAACUCCGUGCCAGCCGCAGC
rnacentral:rRNA from 1 species